AAGGAUUUCACUUAAGUUGGUUGUCGAGAAAAUUGAGAAAAAGUGGCUUAGUUGCCCAAAGAGGAAAUAAAAAGGUGCUAAAAUGAAUUUCAAGAUAGUUUUUUUGCCCAAAAAAAAAAAGGCUCCCUUUAUUGCAUUGCACAUGAAAGAGGUAAAAAAAGCCAACAAUUCUUAGCUGGCAUUACAAUCAUUACUUAGCUGUUGGUAACGGUCAUUAGCUUUAAAUAAUGGCUUUUACAGUUACAAAUUUAAACUUUGUUAAAUAAUGGUGGUAAUGGUAACAGUAAGCCAAAAAACCUUUAAGCAAUGGCCGUUAUGUAACGUAACGGUUGUUAUUUAAAACCAUAAAUAUAUCUUAUUUAAUAUUUUUUUAGUAAUUUUAACUGCAAGUGUUUUUUUUUUUAACCAAAUGUGUCAGCUGCUUAUAGGCAAUUUAACUAAACAUGUAUUUGCUUAGAAUUUUAAAUGCUUUUAAAUUAGCUUAUAAGUUCUAAGUAUUUAUAAACUAAUUUUCAUGAGUUAAGCUAAACAUUUAUUCAUUUUUACCUCUAUUUUCAUUAUUAUGCAAUUUCUUGCAUUUCUUUGUUUUCAAUGUGUUUUCUCUGUUAAGAAUGGUUUUACUAGCAUUUGAACCCGAGAAACUAACAUCUCUCUGUAUAAUAGAAUUUUUAUGGUCAAAUAGGUUUUGUAUUAAUAAUUUGUCUCUUUGGAUGUUUAGUUCAUGAGUUGAUUUCUUAAAAAAAAUAAAAAAAUAAAUGAAAAAUUCUUAUGAUUAGCUUUCCUUAGCAUACUUAUUCUCCUAACUUUUGCAUUCUCCUUUCCAGGACCAUUUGGUCAAAACAUCUCAACAUUACCAAGGUAUGCUCUAGGCAAGAAGAAUUCAUUGUGUGCCAAUUCAUAAGAGGCUAAUAUAUAGAGAACUUAUUGCUAAAACUUCUGAUUGUUGGCCUUUUCAAUAUCUUAAAUGAUAAUAUCUGUCAAUCUUCAUUGGAUUUCAACCAUCUUACUGUGUUUUUUCUACUGUUCUCCCAAUUUAGUUUCUCAACAUUUCUGUGGGGUCAACAUAAAUAGCUAAAAAUAAUCCAGUGUUUUCAAUUAUGUUUUGAUCUUCUAUUUUGUUCAUCUUUUAUCUAAUUAUAUGCCUGUUUUACAAAAUCUUGCAAGUUUUGUGUGGUGCAUGUUGGGGAAGUGGGUGAGCAGUGCGCAAGCUACUUAUGAUUAUUUUUCAGUUGUGCUUAAUUGACCAUAUUUUUCAUGUACUCCCACCCUGCUCAAAUCUGCAACAUUUUUAAUUUGUGUCUUAACACUUAUCUAUGAUUUUCUCCUCAUUAAUGAUGUGACGACUCUUUCUCAAGUGACUAUUUGUUGAUGCUUUGUGGAUCAGAUACUAAUUCCUGAAAAUGAAAAUGUUGUCUUUCAAAGAAUAAGUGAUGUAGAUGACUUGCAUGAAUUUUUCAGAAAUAAUGGAGCAUAGUAAAUCUUAUGCACGAAAUACAAGCUUGGUCUGGAGAACAGAGUAGAAAGUUGUAUAGUAUCAAUUUCUAUGAGUUGGUAGUUUUAGUUGGGUACUUGGGUUAUAUUGUAUUAUCAGAGGAGUCAAAAGCAGAAUGGUAUUUAAUGGGUUUUUUAAUAUUAAAGUUGGAAAAAGUGUAUUCAUUUUAUUAUAAAAAAAAAUGCAUGAUUUGGUUUUCCUGUUUUGCUAGGUAGCACAUUAAUUAGUUGGCCUUGAAGAGCAUUUAGGAAUUACCUCCUGGGUGCUGGCCCAAAAGUUGAACCUUGCUCAAAAAGUUGGGGAACAAACCCACUUGCCAAAGGAGCAAACCUUUGGGGUUGCAUUGAGUACUUUAACUUGCUCGUUUUAAAUACCUUCCUUUUCUCUUUAUUUUCCCUUUUGUUUCAUCAAUUGUUAAUUCUGGAAACUCUGAUUGGUCUUUUCAUUGAAACAAUGAUUCAGCAUACAUUAGUUGCAAAAAUGAGUUCAAGAGGUGGGGGUGGAAGGGCUUCAACUGCUGGUGGUAGUAAUAAUGCAUCAUCCAGGGGGAAAAAUGCAUCAGAAGUCUCUAGCCCUAAGGCUGAGCAGUUGGGUCAAGGUGUGGUAGACAUUAGUUUGGAUGAUGGGGCAUGGGAGGUUAUGUCACGGAAGCCUAAGAACAGAGCUGGAAGCAGUG
rnacentral:misc_RNA from 1 species